rnacentral:rRNA from 1 species
GACGAACGCUGGCGGCGUGCCUAAUACAUGCAAGUCGAACGAGAGCAACCGGUGCUUGCACUGGUCAAUCUAGUGGCGAACGGGUGAGUAACACGUGGGUAACCUGCCUAUCAGAGGGGGAUAACAUCCGGAAACGGAUGCUAAAACCGCAUAGGUCUUCGAACCGCAUGGUUUGAAGAGGAAAAGAGGCGCAAGCGUCUGCUGAUGGAUGGACCCGCGGUGCAUUAGCUAGUGGGUGAGGUAACGGCUCACCAAGGCCGUGAUGCAUAGCCGACCUGAGAGGGUGAUAGGCCACAUUGGGACUGAGCCACGGCCCAAACUCCUACGGGAGGCAGCAGUAGGGAAUCUUCCGCAAUGGACGCAAGUCUGACGGAGCAACGCCGCGUGAGUGAAGAAGGUGUUCGGAUCGUAAAACUCUGUUGUUAGAGAAGAACAAGUGCUAGAGUAACUGUUAGCGCCUUGACGGUAGCUAACCAGAAAGCCACGGCUAACUACGUG